rnacentral:rRNA from 1 species
GAUGAACGCUGGCGGCGUGCCUAAUACAUGCAAGUCGAGCGAACAGACGAGGAGCUUGCUCCUCUGACGUUAGCGGCGGACGGGUGAGUAACACGUGGAUAACCUACCUAUAAGACUGGGAUAACUUCGGGAAACCGGAGCUAAUACCGGAUAAUAUAUUGAACCGCAUGGUUCAAUAGUGAAAGACGGUUUUGCUGUCACUUAUAGAUGGAUCCGCGCCGCAUGAGCUAGUUGGUAAGGUAACGGCUUACCAAGGCAACUAUGCGUAGCCGACCUGAGAGGGGGGUCGGCGACACUGGAGCUGAGACACGCACCAGACGCCUACGGGAGGCAGCAGUAGGGUAUCUUCCGCAAUGGGCGAAAGCCUGACGGAGCAACGCCGCGUGAGUGACGAAGGUCUUCGGAUCGUAAAACUCUGUUACUAGGGAAGAACAAAUGUGUAAGUAACUAUGCACGGAUUGACGGUACCUAAUCAGAAAGCCACGGCUAACUACGUG